rnacentral:rRNA from 1 species
GUCUGCAGCCAUCCUACCCUGAACAUACUUGGUCUCAGAUGGUAAGCAAUGCCCACAGUGGUUAGCAUUUGGAUGGGAGAUCAACUGGUAGUACUAGCUGCUGUAGGAU